GAUACCGAAAGGUGUGCUUGGAAA
rnacentral:rRNA from 1 species